rnacentral:rRNA from 1 species
AUACGGAGGAUGCAAGCGUUAUCCGGAUUUAUUGGGUUUAAAGGGUGCGUAGGCGGUUUGCUAAGCGGGAGGUGAAAUGCCGGCGCUCAACGUCGGAAGUGCCUCCCGAACUGGUGGACUUGAAUGACUCUGCCGUGGGAGGAAUGUGCAGUGUAGCGGUGAAAUGCUUAGAGAUUACACAGAACACCGAUUGCGAAGGCAUCUCACGAAGGGUUGAUUGACGCUGAGGCACGAAAGCGUGGGGAUCAAACAGGAUUAGAUACCCUGGUAGUCCACGCAGUAAACGAUGAUGGCUAACCGCUGGGCUUAUCAGUUCAGUGGCCAAGCGAAAGCGAUAAGCCAUCCACCUGGGGAGUACGACCGCAAGGUUGAAACUCAAAUGAAUCGACGGGG